rnacentral:tRNA from 1 species
CAAAAUAUAGUUUAAAAAAAAUACUAGUUUUGGGGACUAGAGAUAAGAGUUGGACUCUUUUUUUUGA